GAUCCCACCUGUGUGCUGGGGGUUCCUGCGUGCCGCGGGCAGCAACAGCGUGCGGUUGCUGAAGCGAGCUGGAAAUAAGGGAGAUGAGUUACAAGGGGCAGUAGCCGGGAGGAAAUAAAAAAAAAAUAAUUAAAAGCUGAGGGAUUCUCCACAGCCCCCGUCAACAGAAUCUCCAAGUAAAGUUACAGGAUGCAGAUACAGGUUUUAACUACAGUGAACCUGCUGCUGAAGCAUCUCUUCAGUGCCUUUUCUUCCCCACCUAUUGAACUGCAUUUUCCUCGGCACAUCUACUCAGCACUACAGGAACUUUCAUACAUGCUAGAGGUGUUGCAAGAAGAUGAGCAGGAAGCCCAUCCUGCACCAGACAAGCUAGAAUGUUCUGAUAAACAUUUUCAGAGGACAAGUUACAGUGCUAAUGAGACUGUCUUGUGUCCUCUGAACAGUCUGUGCUGGAGUUGGAAUAUGCUUCCUGUCGUUCAUCAGAAGAACUGGCAAGCAAGCAAGGCUGACAGAUGUAGUUCAGACUUAUGAGGAUUUCCUGUUGCAAAAGUUUGGCAUCCACUGACAUUUCCUGGUGGUGUAGAAAAGCCAGAAGAGUAAUGGGUUGUUGUAAUGGUUUGGCCUGAAGAUUCUUCCUGUGGACCUAAGUGGAUGGUAAUUUGAAUGAUAUGUCCUGCGAGGUGAGAGCCAUAAAUGAGGUCUGAGCAGAAGUGAAAGUCUAAGUGAUUGUUAAUGUAUUGAGAUUAAGGUGCCAAAUUUCAUUUCACCUCUUUAAGAUCUGGACAGGACAAAGAUACUCUCCCUGCUUUAGAAUAAGGAAAUAGUGAAAGGAGGAACUUCUGGUCUGUAUUCCUCAGAAAUUCCCAGGAGGUGUGAUGAGUGCACUUCUUCUUCCAAGACUGCUAAUGAAAAGCCACAGCGUUCUGGAGGAGGUACAGAUGGCUUCUGAAGGAUGGUUGUAUGAUGCUUCAUUCAGUGGGAUUCCGACUCAUCAUAGCCAGCCUGCUACCUCAGAGACAGGAGCUGAUGUUUCAAGCAUGAUCGUGGAGCUGAGCACCUUCUGGAGCAGUCACGCUGCAUCUUGGAUGAAUACCAAAGCUGCUGGGCGUUCAGCACUGAGACAGUCUCCAAGGGAGCUGGGAAUGCAUGACCCAGGAAGACCCACAGCUCCAGAAUUCACCAGGAAGCACAGCAUCUCUUCUUUCAUCUCAGGCUAGCUAAAACCUUUCCAUUAGAGCAGGGUUUUCCUAAUCAAAUACCUCUGUGGCAAAAGAUGGUUUGAGAAUUCAUGAUUUAUGUGUUAAAAGACUGAAGAAAGGGGCCUCCUACUAAACAUUCUGUUUCUUUAUCCUGCAUAACCAUACCUUCCCCAUAUUCAUGCUUUGAUGUAGAUAACAGAAAUGAAAUAAAAGUGGUAGAGAUAUUAUGAUUUUUAAUGUUCAUUGGAUAUUAUUUUUUAUGCUUCUUCCUGUGCUCAAGACCCUAAAAGUUAAGGCAAAACUAAAAAAAAAGAAGGGAUUUGCCAGGCAAAUGGUAUGGAGGAGGAUAAGAAAAGCUGUCGCACAACACAACUGUCACAUAUGCUUUUUCCACCACCCUCUAUCUCCUUUGGUUGUUCAGUAUGUAAGAAUAGUUUUCUUUCCCCAAAUGCUUACAGAACUUCCCUACAAGACUAGUAUCUGCAAAUGACAUUACUUUUACCCAGAGAAAAUAUGUGUGCAGGCUGGGCAGGGUUAUGUUUUUUAAUGUUCUUUGCACUCUCAACUAGUCUGCAGUUGCAAGUUGCAUUACCAGCAUUUAUCCAUUAAAUUUUGCCACGUGAAUUCCUUUCCUCAGCCUUGCUCACCAGUUGAGAUUUGCUAGGCUUGAGGAGCUUGAGGUUGGAUAUUAGGACAAGGUUCUUCAGAGGGUGGUUGGGCACUGGAACAGGCUCCCCACAGAAAUGGUCACCAGCCAGUCAAUCCAGCCUGGCAAAGUUCAAGAAGCAUUUGGAUAAUGCUCUGAGAUCAAUGGUGUGACUCAUGGGGUGUCCUGUCCAGGACCAGGAGCUGGACUCCAUGAUCUUUGCGAGUCCCUUCCAACUCAGGAUGUUCUAUGACUCUGUGAGAUGUAGCACUCAAACACUGAGGCUGCAGGAGAAAUGGCGGUGAUGGUGCAUGCCUUUACAGCUUUCACCACAGGAAUACCCUAUGCAAGGGCUUUUCCCUCACUGUGAAAGCAACUAGUUUGUAUUGAGCUGCCAAUGGAAUGUAGGGCAGAUGGAAGAAGUAGGUAACUUCAUGAUCAUCCCAGCCAUUUCUGUGAGAAACAUUUGACUCCAGCCUGCCUGCAUGGCUCUUAUUCCAGUUAUUUACCUUCUUUUCACAUUGCUGCAGCCAGAAGAUUGUUAAGUGCCCUUUUAGGGCAGGUUUGGAUUCAGCGAGACUACUUACACAAGUAGCUGUCGGCCAGUUUGAGCUGUAUGACCCUUGGUUCCCAUUUCUAGGACACGCUGCUCACGACACUUGGGCCUGUUACGUCAAUAACCUCUUGGUUGCUCCUUCUCAGCCCUGGUCCUGCAGACUCUGCUGACAAGCUUCAGCACAAAACAUCCCCACUGAAGUUUUUAUACACUGAAUAAAUGGUGGCUUGUGAAUGGAUGGUACAGAAUUCGGUUGUUUAUUUAUCUCUGGCUGAUUUUCUUGUAUCAGAGAUUUCUACUGCUCUAAAAAUGAAAGGUUAAAUGCCUUCAAGUCUUUGUCCUAGAUAUUACCAUGCCACUGUGUUUGAACUCAACUGAGAACCAUAUUUGUAUGCCUUUGCAAAUGCCAUUCCUAUAAUUCUCCCUUGCAUGAUUGUUUUCUGAAAGUCUGCAAAGUAAAGCUUGGUGGGAAUUUUCCCACAGUCUAUUUGUUUGUAUGCAAAAAUGCUGACUUGAUGAAAUGGAACCUUUCUGUGGAAAAUAUUUGUUCCAGCAAGAAAGCUUCUCAGAUUCAGAAGUGAAUUUCUGGAAAAAAAAAAAAAAAAAGGAGAGAAGGAAAAACUUUCCAUUCUUUGCCUCAAAGUAGAUAGCUGCUUAGUGCUGAGGCAUUCCCUGGAGGAAAUGGGCAAGAGAGGUUCAAACCCCACCUGUUCAGAGUGUUAAUCUCUUUCUGGGCCAGCUAUGCAAAGUUGAACAUCAUCAAACAGGGUAAAAGGGAAUAUUCUUGCUGGCUUCUGUCUUUUUAUGCCUGUUUGGCUUUUUUUUUCAAGAAAGGUUCUAAUUUCACUUUAAUGCUCAACAAAAGCAUAUUUUGCAAUGACCAUUGUUUUCCAAAAUAUCAAUGUUUUGCAGAUAGUGUUACACUAACCCUGCAGUGAUUGCCUUGCAGAUCCAUUUAUAAAUUCUUUUAAAUGUGGAUGACAGAGUCACUCCAUUUGGGAUCUGUACUCUGUAAAUGGAGCCCUUCUGACUCUUUGCAGGUUUUUUAGGAGACAUCCAGUGUUUGAUUCUGCACAUUUCUAACAUAUAAGCUGCUAUGAGCUUUAGCUACUUAACUAAUGGAGCUAUUCAUACACUUGAUGCCAGCACAUUAUAAAUUGAUAAUACUUUUAUUAAAGUCAAUAGAAAGAUUUCUACUGGCCUCGAAUGAAAGUUCAUUACAUUAUGUCCUUGUAUCUUCAUGUUUUGAUUUGACACUUGAUCUUGUCUUAUUUUAGUGAUGUUCAGGUUCUUCUAAAAUUAUAUUUACAUCAGUCAUGCAUCCCUACAAUUUCAGAAAGAAGUAUAUACUUUGUCUAUUCUUUAGGGAGAGAAUAGGAAUUCAGGAAACCUGGAUUCUUCUCUGACUUACUACUGACUUAGACUAUCUAUCAUUAUUUAUUAACUUUAACAAUUAAUUUUAUUAUUUCAAUAUGCAAGGAAAUUUAAGCACUAGGAAAUAUUUUACAUUCAGUAAAAUAUUGCAUUAUAAUACUCAUAACCUUAAUUUACUCAAUGGCAAUUUCACAAUUAGGACAUUAUAAUGCAGUUUUAAUGCACAUUUAUAAUAGUAAUGAAGACCAGAAUUACACAGAUAUAACACAAAUCAUAUUUAAUCCAGAGCAAUCUCAGAUAAUAACCAACUAAGAAUUAUAUGGCACUGAGUUUCUAUGUAUCAUUUUUCUUCUAUCAGAAGUAAUGUUACAAAUUGUCAUAAUAUAAAUUGUUUACAUUUGUUUUAAAACAUUCUAUAAUAUUGAUUGAUACUUUAGGCUGAGUACUUCUUGUACGAAUAGCAUAAAAUUUCUCCAACUAAUGAGAAAAUUAAUUUUCCACCCAGCAUAACUCCAGUGUUCAAUUAGAUUUAAAUACUAAUUCUCAUAAUGUACUAAUUUCUUCAAAAUAAAAAAAAAAAAAACAAAAACCAAAAAAACAACCAAAAAAUCAACCAACGAAAUGUACCAAACCAAAACAAAAACCACAAAACCCCACCCCUAAUUUACUAUUUCACAAAGCUGGCAGACAAAAAUGCUUGAAAAGCAGAGUCUUCAGAUCAUAAAAGUAAAUUAUAUCAUAAAACUCUCCCACCUUUUAAACUAACAUUCUGUGAAAUACUGUUCAGCUUUACUUUACAAAGCAUCACAGAUUGGUCCCCUAUAUCAUGUACUUUUGUCUGUCUCACACAGUAACCACCUCCUUGAAUCUUCUUAGCUAGAAUCAUGCUGCCAAAACAGAUGGACUCUUAAAGUAAAGUGCAAGACUAAUUAUUAUUUCUUAAUCUUCAGCUAUGAGAUUUAUCUUCUAAUUUAAAUUGGAAUAAUACUUCCACUGCAGUUUAUCAUACUUGUACUGUGAAAAGCAUUCUAGGAUCAAGUAAAAUAUUAUGUCAUAGUGGGGUUUUUUUUAAUGUUAUUACAGUAUUAUUUUUUAAACUAUAGCCAAAAUAUUUUAGGACAUGUUGCAUGUCUUGAGGUAUGUGUUUAAGGGUGGUGAGUGCAUAGCUUUCCAGCAGCUGUUAAUACUAAAACAAGCAUUUCUUCAGAACAGUGAAACACAUAUGAGAAGUCUGUGUUCAGUGACUGAAAAAUAUCAACCAGCUUCUGAGAGACCCCGGUGUCGCGUGCAUUUGUAGGUAGCGGUAUUUUACAUUUGGAAGCUUUCUCCAUGAGUCAUGUCCUAAAGCAGAGCUGCAACUGAAGGAUGUUACUGCUCCAGCCCUGCGCGCCUCCCCGGCCACGAUUGCCAAAUCAGUCUCCAAUUAAGAAUGUGAAUGACGAAAGAAUAAAUAGCUUUGUGUUUUUUACCAAACACGAGGGCCCCUGUAGCAUCCUGAAAUGUGUGCUAAAUUCAGCACAAAGCAUUGUAACGUGCACAAACAUAAAACUCUGCUGCCUGUUGUAUAGAUCUGUGCUCACUGCUGCAGUGAGAGAUUUUGGUGGAUAAGAAAUAGCCUCUGACAAAACCAGCAGAUAAAAUUAUUAAGUAAAGAUAAAACCGUAUCAAAUGUCCCCAGAGCUGUGAGACAAUAGUUAGCUUGCACUAAUCUUGACUCUGAGGCUGAGAAUGCCGUGGUUUCUCAUGUCAUUUCAGGAAUUACUUUUGCUACGUUUUAAGGCAUGAUGCAACGGUUUAAAAAGUGGAAAAUUAUUUUAGCCAGAGAACAUUCUGGCUAAAAUCCCAGGUCCACUAAAAUCAAUGGGAGCUUUUACUGUGGUUUUGUGUCAUAUAUUGGUUAUUUCUCCUCCCUUGCUCUUUUCACUUAUGCCCGUUUUAUGAUACUCUUCGAUACAUGUCGCUAUACUGGAGUUUGUUACGUAAUCAGAAGCCAAGUUUGCACCAAACAACAGAACAUUAUUUUUAUUUGCAGAAACAAAAAUGAUGCAUUUUCCCUCACAACUGUUGUUUGAUAGAUAUAUGAUGGAUAAAGGCAAGAGGGGAUUUACUGAGCUUGAAGAAAAUGGAUUGUAUAUCUAUGGCAUGCUUUUUUGUGUAUGUCACCUGCAAUAUGUGACCUUCUGUUGUAUACGACUUAAAAGUAACCGCGUGCUGUAAGUUAAACACUAGAACAUAAAC